GAUUAAGUUAUUAAGGGCGCACGGUGGAUGCCUUGGCACUAGAAGCCGAUGAAGGACGUUACUAACGACGAUAUGCUUUGGGGAGCUGUAAGUAAGCUUUGAUCCAGAGAUUUCCGAAUGGGGAAACCCAGCAUGAGUUAUGUCAUGUUAUCGAUAUGUGAAUACAUAGCAUAUCAGAAGGCACACCCGGAGAACUGAAACAUCUUAGUACCCGGAGGAAGAGAAAGAAAAUUCGAUUCCCUUAGUAGCGGCGAGCGAAACGGGAAGAGCCCAAACCAACAAGCUUGCUUGUUGGGGUUGUAGGACACUCUAUACGGAGUUACAAAGGACGACAUUAGACGAAUCAUCUGGAAAGAUGAAUCAAAGAAGGUAACAAUCCUGUAGUCGAAAAUGUUGUCUCUCUUGAGUGGAUCCUGAGUACGACGGAGCACGUGAAAUUCCGUCGGAAUCUGGGAGGACCAUCUCCUAAGGCUAAAUACUCUCUAGUGACCGAUAGUGAACCAGUACCGUGAGGGAAAGGUGAAAAGCACCCCGGAAGGGGAGUGAAAUAGAACCUGAAACCGUGUGCUUACAAGUAGUCAGAGCCCGUUAAUGGGUGAUGGCGUGCCUUUUGUAGAAUGAACCGGCGAGUUACGAUUUGAUGCAAGGUUAAGCAGUAAAUGUGGAGCCGUAGCGAAAGCGAGUCUGAAUAGGGCGUUUAGUAUUUGGUCGUAGACCCGAAACCAGGUGAUCUACCCUUGGUCAGGUUGAAGUUCAGGUAACACUGAAUGGAGGACCGAACCGACUUACGUUGAAAAGUGAGCGGAUGAACUGAGGGUAGCGGAGAAAUUCCAAUCGAACCUGGAGAUAGCUGGUUCUCUCCGAAAUAGCUUUAGGGCUAGCCUCAAGUGAUGAUUAUUGGAGGUAGAGCACUGUUUGGACGAGGGGCCCCUCUCGGGUUACCGAAUUCAGACAAACUCCGAAUGCCAAUUAAUUUAACUUGGGAGUCAGAACAUGGGUGAUAAGGUCCGUGUUCGAAAGGGAAACAGCCCAGACCACCAGCUAAGGUCCCAAAAUAUAUGUUAAGUGGAAAAGGAUGUGGCGUUGCCCAGACAACUAGGAUGUUGGCUUAGAAGCAGCCAUCAUUUAAAGAGUGCGUAAUAGCUCACUAGUCGAGUGACACUGCGCCGAAAAUGUACCGGGGCUAAACAUAUUACCGAAGCUGUGGAUUGUCCUUUGGACAAUGGUAGGAGAGCGUUCUAAGGGCGUUGAAGCAUGAUCGUAAGGACAUGUGGAGCGCUUAGAAGUGAGAAUGCCGGUGUGAGUAGCGAAAGACGGGUGAGAAUCCCGUCCACCGAUUGACUAAGGUUUCCAGAGGAAGGCUCGUCCGCUCUGGGUUAGUCGGGUCCUAAGCUGAGGCCGACAGGCGUAGGCGAUGGAUAACAGGUUGAUAUUCCUGUACCACCUAUAAUCGUUUUAAUCGAUGGGGGGACGCAGUAGGAUAGGCGAAGCGUGCGAUUGGAUUGCACGUCUAAGCAGUAAGGCUGAGUAUUAGGCAAAUCCGGUACUCGUUAAGGCUGAGCUGUGAUGGGGAGAAGACAUUGAGUCUUCGAGUCGUUGAUUUCACACUGCCGAGAAAAGCCUCUAGAUAGAAAAUAGGUGCCCGUACCGCAAACCGACACAGGUAGUCAAGAUGAGAAUUCUAAGGUGAGCGAGCGAACUCUCGUUAAGGAACUCGGCAAAAUGACCCCGUAACUUCGGGAGAAGGGGUGCUCUUUAGGGUUAACGCCCAGAAGAGCCGCAGUGAAUAGGCCCAAGCGACUGUUUAUCAAAAACACAGGUCUCUGCUAAACCGUAAGGUGAUGUAUAGGGGCUGACGCCUGCCCGGUGCUGGAAGGUUAAGAGGAGUGGUUAGCUUCUGCGAAGCUACGAAUCGAAGCCCCAGUAAACGGCGGCCGUAACUAUAACGGUCCUAAGGUAGCGAAAUUCCUUGUCGGGUAAGUUCCGACCCGCACGAAAGGCGUAACGAUUUGGGCACUGUCUCAACGAGAGACUCGGUGAAAUCAUAGUACCUGUGAAGAUGCAGGUUACCCGCGACAGGACGGAAAGACCCCGUGGAGCUUUACUGUAGCCUGAUAUUGAAAUUCGGCACAGCUUGUACAGGAUAGGUAGGAGCCUUUGAAACGUGAGCGCUAGCUUACGUGGAGGCGCUGGUGGGAUACUACCCUAGCUGUGUUGGCUUUCUAACCCGCACCACUUAUCGUGGUGGGAGACAGUGUCAGGCGGGCAGUUUGACUGGGGCGGUCGCCUCCUAAAAGGUAACGGAGGCGCUCAAAGGUUCCCUCAGAAUGGUUGGAAAUCAUUCAUAGAGUGUAAAGGCAUAAGGGAGCUUGACUGCGAGACCUACAAGUCGAGCAGGGUCGAAAGACGGACUUAGUGAUCCGGUGGUUCCGCAUGGAAGGGCCAUCGCUCAACGGAUAAAAGCUACCCCGGGGAUAACAGGCUUAUCUCCCCCAAGAGUUCACAUCGACGGGGAGGUUUGGCACCUCGAUGUCGGCUCAUCGCAUCCUGGGGCUGUAGUCGGUCCCAAGGGUUGGGCUGUUCGCCCAUUAAAGCGGUACGCGAGCUGGGUUCAGAACGUCGUGAGACAGUUCGGUCCCUAUCCGUCGUGGGCGUAGGAAAUUUGAGAGGAGCUGUCCUUAGUACGAGAGGACCGGGAUGGACAUACCUCUGGUGUACCAGUUGUCGUGCCAACGGCAUAGCUGGGUAGCUAUGUGUGGACGGGAUAAGUGCUGAAAGCAUCUAAGCAUGAAGCCCCCCUCAAGAUGAGAUUUCCCAACUUCGGUUAUAAGAUCCCUCAAAGAUGAUGAGGUUAAUAGGUUCGAGGUGGAAGCAUGGUGACAUGUGGAGCUGACGAAUACUAAUCGAUCGAAGACUUAAUCAA
rnacentral:rRNA from 1 species